CUUCGGGGGGCUCCAGUGGGGAAUAUUGCACAAUGGGCGCAAGCCUGAUGCAGCCAUGCCGCGUGUAUGAAGAAGGCCUUCGGGUUGUAAAGUACUUUCAGCGGGGAGGAAGGGAGUAAAGUUAAUACCUUUGCUCAUUGACGUUACCCGCAGAAGAAGCACCGGCUAACUCCGUGCCAGCAGCCGCGGUAAUACGGAGGGUGCAAGCGUUAAUCGGAAUUACUGGGCGUAAAGCGCACGCAGGCGGUUUGUUAAGUCAGAUGUGAAAUCCCCGGGCUCAACCUGGGAACUGCAUCUGAUACUGGCAAGCUUGAGUCUCGUAGAGGGGGGUAGAAUUCCAGGUGUAGCGGUGAAAUGCGUAGAGAUCUGGAGGAAUACCGGUGGCGAAGGCGGCCCCCUGGACGAAGACUGACGCUCAGGUGCGAAAGCGUGGGGAGCAAACAGGGUUAGAUACCCUCGUAGUC
rnacentral:rRNA from 1 species